CCCAACCUACUUCUACUUAUUCACAUUUUUUCUUGAUACGCAUGGACAGAGAAUACUAAAGUGAGAUGUCGGAUCCAGGAUCACUUAGACCUUAAAUACACUCUGAUUAUUCACCAAGAAACUAGUCAACUAUUACAAGAUAAAAUAGAAUCAACCAAUGUAUCCUUUAACUAAAAGGAAGAAAAGGCGUACAAGAGGAAAUACGACAUGAGAUUUUGAUGCCUUGUAACUACUACAUAAAUCCGGGACAAACCAAUUAUUCACCAUAUCGAUGGAUAUCAAUACGAGGGACUUAAACUAAACAUUAAACCAAUUAGAGUAGUCAAUCAAAUUCUUACGUUUUUACUACUUUAAGAAAUAUUUAUAAGUAUAUUAUCUAAUAAGUGUAAAUCAUAGUAAAUUAAUCUAUUACACUAUGCAACAGGAUUUUAGCACCUAGUCUGAAACCCACAAUUAUUAAUGUUAUUUAAACCGUAAAACACAAAUAUGACCAU
rnacentral:lncRNA from 1 species